CCAAUUGCUGGUGGAGGACACAGAAUUGAUUGGCGGAACAGACAUUUUGUCGCGUGAAAAGCUUGCGUUAAGGGAAAGAGAUGUCUACCAGUUACACUUGCGUUACUAACCAUGGCUUCUGGGGAGGUGGGUUUGGGCCAGAGGAGAAUCAGGACUCAGUAGUCAGGAGACAGAUAGGAAGCGCUUACAUAUACCAUCGAAAAUACAAGGACUGGAAUUGGAUAGGAUGUGCUCCUCAGUGGUUUAUUUUUCUUACAUUCUAUUUGAUUCUAUUAUUGUUACCACUCCCAGGCAUGUUAAAUUUAUUAUCCUUUUCAAGUGAGAGAGCUAGAAUUCCACAUGUCUCAUUUACACUUUCUUCUCGAACCCCUCAUUUACACUUCCUUCAGGAACCCAUUUUUCCUGCAGGUAUGUUCAUUACUUGUUUGUUAGCAAGAGGAAUGUGUACAUUCAAUCUAGUGCUCUUUUUUUUUCCUUUUAAACUAUUUAUUUUUACAUCCUAUCCAAAUCUGUCAGUUAAAAGUCGAAAAUAAAUUGAACACCCAAGGUGAAUUGGAAACAACAGAAUUAGGACGCAUCCAUCUCCUCGGCAUUUACCAUUUAGCGUGUUUUGAUAGAAAUCAUGAAAUACUUCAGCCCUUUACAACACUGGAGUUUAGUUCAACGAAUGCCCCAAAACAUUACGCACACAUUAUACCACCCCAUAUCUGGGACAUUUACAUGGAUUCAAAAGCUAGUGCAUAGCAGGAGCAGGCCUUCAAAGGAUUUGCUUGGUGAAUCUUUGAGUUCCUCGCUAAAAUUAACCUUUUAUUCAUCACUGCGUUCUAUAUGUGCUCCACAACUCUAAUUUUUUCUGCCCUACUUCAGGAUCUGUACAUGUCACAAAAUGAAAUUAUCCUAUAAUUCUUACAACAAUAGAGAGGCAGAACACACUCAACAAAUAAUAAUCCAUCUCACACCAAGAGGUGCCUCAGUCAUCUUCGCAGUUGUCAUCAAUCUAGUGUGUGGUUAUCUUGGCGGCUCUUUCCCAGUUUCGCUAUGAGGAAGCACAAGCUUCAAGCUUUGGAAGAAGACUCCGCCAGGCUUCAGCAAUACCAUUUGCUAAAUGUGCUUGUCCCUUAGCAAAUUCAUGAAAAGCAAGCCCCAUAUCCAGUGUCUUUUGUUCUUGAAAUCGGACAAUUUCUUCAUUCAUUAGCUGGACGAUUGCCUCAAAUCUUCUUGUUGCUUCCUCACCAUCAGCCUUCAGCUGCAUACACAAACUCAUAAUAAGGGGAAAAACAGCAAUCAUAGUAAAAGCAAACAAUACAAUUCAAGGCCAACUAACCACGUCAUAUUCACGCUCAGCGUCAGCCAAUUUUUCUGAACGCGUUAGCCUAAGUUUGUUCCUGCAGAAGAAUACAAACACAUUUUCAUCAAUAAUAAAUUACUAGCAGUAAAUUCCAAUUAGUAGUUAAUUAUUAACAAGUUCUCUGGAUAAGUUUCUAUAGAUUUGCUAAUAUUGAUGUUCCCUUGUGCAUAACUUGACAAGACAAUAUUUUGAAAGAACAUUUCCUAAGACAGAGCAACAAGGAAGAAGGGCGGGUAUUGCAACAGCAUGGUCAAUGUAGCUCUGGCUUAAAUUUGGGUUCAUAGGAAUUAAACCUUUAAGUAACAUUUAAGUUCAUAAAAAAGACCUAAUACAGAUUAGUGCAGUUGUUUACAAAACAUGAUUUGCUAAGAACCAGAAAACAUGUUGUAAAAUUUCUUAAAGCAACAGUUGGUUAUCAACAUAAAAAAAAAAAAAAAAAUCCAAAUUUUGUUCUGCUUGCAUCACAAACACAAUUUCCAACCACCUUUUUAUUUCACAUGCAUCACAUCACCAAAAAAAGCUACAGUGUUAUUUCAGAUAUUUUCCCCAAGCAGAGUUGACAUCACUACCUACCAGCCUUGCAUUUUGUGCUGAACAUGAAAAAGUUGAUAUCAUUAUUCAAUUACCAAGCAUUAGCUCACUAAAUCCUGAGUUCAUGUACAAACUCACAAUCUUCUACAGGGCAUGAAGUUUCUGUUUUCAUAAUAAUGUUUCCAAAUAUAAGAUCCACAAACUAAUGCAAGUUGAAACUCACAGAUCAAUUUCCUUGAACUUUAUAGUUUCGGCCAAUUCACAUUGCUGCUUAAAUGCAUUUGCCCUCUCAGCUAUUGUAGCCUGUUAAGAAAGAAGGAUGGAAAGAGUGUCAGAUUAUAUUGGUGAAAAAAAAUGUGAUAAAAAAAUAGACAAAGCAAGAAUUGUGGAUCAAGACAAGGCAACAUCAUUCCACUAUUCUUUGCCACAAUUGUUGUAUGAUAUUUGGCAUUAUAAUUUACAUAGAGAGAAAAAACGGGGGUUUUCUUCCUUGAUUUAUAUUGCAAGAGCUACUCCCAAUGGCUAAAUAAAUUCACGUAUACGUUUCAAGAAAACAUAAUAUCAGACAGAAGUCUCCACCCUUCAAUAGGACACAUGAACAAUGCAUAAGGCUCCCAGACUAACCUUAAUUGACUGUACAGCACGAACAUAGUCUUUCAAAGAUUCUUCAAAGUUCAUCAACAGGUGGUGAGCCUGAAACUCACCAAAAAUAAAUAUACAAUCAGAUAAGUAAACUUCAGUUUUAAAGUAAAAAAAAAAAAAAGUUCAGUGUGAUAUUUUAUAUAAGUACAAAAACGCACCUCCCUCUGCAUCUUAACCGAGACUAUUUCUGCUUUGUCCCCAACCUCAGAAAAUACCUUACCGAGAGCAUUAUCUUCACAUGUACCAAGCAGCUUGACUGCCUUCCCAAACUCUGACAGAGAUUGCCCCAACUCUGAGGUAAAAUAUCAAGAAACUCAAUAUGUGUAACUACCUUCAUUCAAAUGCAGCAAAUGAGGAACCAAAUCAAUGUUAUACAAUAGCAUUCAGCUCUGGAAAAAGAAGAAUCUAAAACCACGAAAACCCAUAAAUGAGGUUCCACGAGAGAAAAUGGGGAAAAUCCAGUUUAAUAGAGAAAAACUGAAAAGGUGCUGAUGAAAAAAGGCAACAGUAUGAAACACGUUUCAUUGUGGAAAAUCGACUCUCUAAUCUCUCAGAAAGAAAUCUCUGCAGAUCAAGUAUUGGGAAAACAAAUACUUUACUUUGUUUUUGGGAGAUCAAGUUUUUGGGAAAUCUCUGCAGAUCAAGUUUUUGGGAGAACAAAUACUUUACUUUGUUUAAAAUGAUAACAUUUGCAGCAUAUACACCAGAAUAGCAUCCUACUACUGACACUAAAACAUAUAAUCGAGCAUUACAAGGAAUGAGUACCCCUAAUACCUCUAUGUCUUUUUACAAGACGAUAGGCAUGCUUCUGAGCUUCAGCUAAGUGAUCUUCAAGCUCAAAUAUAUAACGUUUUAGUUUCUCAUACUCAGGAGUCGAUUCUUCAACAGGUUUCUCCUUUCCAAGAACAACAUCACUCACCUUUGACUGUACAUCCUGCACAAUAUUGCAACUCUGUCAAUAUUAUAUCUCUGAAUACACACCUUUCAAGUUUCAAGGGAUAUUUCAAAACAUUCUGCCAGUAUGAAAUGGUAUUGAGGACCAACCAAAAUGCUUAUUGAGCUCCUUGUGAACGUGAUGGAACUCUAUGAUGUGGAACACAGUGACCAGGAAAGACCAACUCACUAAAAGAAACCAGCAAGGUAUCUCACUUUUCAGUAUAAGCAUCUCCUAACUUUUACCAACAGCUUAAAUUUGUGAAAGAAAGAAAUUGCAACAUUUUCAAAAUGUAGUUAUCUAGAGCUCUCCCUAGCAAACUGGUGUGGUAUUAAAGAUCACCUGAAUGCAUCUCGAUGGCUAAUUUUCAAAGGAUUAAUCAAAUUUAAGUCAAAAUUCCAUCUGAGAUAGAAUAGAGAGUUUGAAAUUUCAAUCCAAAUAUACGGUACCUUGAAAAUCUGCAUCAAAUCAGCUGGUUUCUUCUUGAAGAUACCAAUCUCUUGUGAUCUUGCUCUUUCCAUUGUCUACAGAACAGCCAGUGAAACGACACAAUGCAUAAUGUACCAAACAAAGGAAGAAAAAUUGAAAUGGCAUAGCAUAUAGAACGUUAAAAAGGUAUGAAGUAAAAUACAGAAGAAUCAAGACAAUGGAAACGAAAUAUGCACUUCAGAUGCAUUGUAAGAAUUGACAGGUGUGGAAAAAGUCCUUGAAAAGAGGUAAGUAGGCAAAGAAAAUGCUGCCAGACUGAAGUUGAACAUCAAUUCUUGAAAAUGAAACAUUUUUAAAGUACAACCUUAGAGAGGAAAAGGGUGCUCCCUUUAAAAUAAAUUUCCAAAUGCAAGAAAAGCUUUAUUCAAAAUGAAUUGCAGAACACCAAACCUUUUUUGUUAAAGCAUCAAAUUCAGCCAAACUACCUGUUCAUCUGCCUGCAAAAAGAUUCUCAGGUCCUCACUCUGCUGAAGAAUGUGAUGAGAAGCUAUCCGGUUGACAAAUAUAUCAAGUGCUUGACGCCGCAUUUCGAUGAACUCGGCAGUGAACCUAAAUUUUUCUGCCCAAGGAAGGACAAAAUUACAGUUACAGAAACACAGAAUUGUCCCAACUAAUCAGAUUCACUGUGUGACAAGGUCAAAGUGCCUUAGACACAUGCUAAACAAGACUUGCACUUCAUCAGGAUUUGUAGUAGUGAAAUGACAGAUGCAUAAAAUGCUAUUCAAUUCCUGGGUAUGAUGAAUUGAUGAAACUUUCAGGACAUGGAUGUGAAAAGAAUAUCAGUCAUUAAUGCCACUUUACAUUUAUUUUUUCCAGCCUAGAUUAAAGUUGAAAAAACAAUGGACAGUAAUGGCUAAGUAAUUCGAUAAAUGAAGACAAGGAAAAAGACAAAGAAUUAUUCUGAGAAUGAAAACCUAGCAUUACUAAUAUCAUCUCCCAUGAGAACCUGUUCAUGAAUGUUUGAUCGUCCCAAUUAGCAUAUUUCGGAACUAUAACAAUUGCAGGAACAUGGUCUUUACUUUUGACACAUUGCCACAUCAGUCACUUCCCCAAUUUGGCAACAGGAAAACCAUAAAUGGAUGACUAUCAUGCGGAACCACAGAUAAAACAAGGAGAAACGAAGGAAAAGUAUGUGCAUUAACUUAUUACCUACUGUGCUCUUCUCCGGAAGAGGAGGGAUAAAGAUUCCCUUGUACUUCUCAAAAAGACGAUCUCGCAACCACACAAAAUCACUAUAUCUACGAAUAACAAUCUUCUCUGGCCCUUGAUAAUCUGGCAAAUUUGUCUGCAAUAAUAAUUCCCAGAUAUAACUGACGCAGCCGAAUCAACUAUUCAGAUAAUUAAGAAGUAAGCAUCCUAUAAUAGAAACAUUCUAAAAACCUAACAAUACUAAUACCACUUUGACUUGCUUAAGGGGUGCAACAGAAAGUAAAGGCAAACCCUGACACUACAACAAUGUAAGCACCGGAAAAAUAUAUCUAACAUUUACCGCUUAUUUUUCACUACAGUUAUCAAGAAAGCAUCGCCAUCAACUGUAAAAGUCAUCACAGUAAGCUACUUUCCAAAAGAGCGAUCUGUAUCUAUGUAUGUGACUUGAUAAGAUAUUUAAUCAAUCACAGCAUACAAUAUUCGAGCAAAUGAAGAAUGAGGUGAAAUAUGCCAACCUUAGUGAUAACUUUGUAGGAGAUAUAAGCUUGAACGCCAUUGCCCAUCUUAGCUGGAUCAAUCACUGAUACUGAUAAAAACGGCUCUUGCGACGACGGGGAUCUAGGGCUCUGCGUUGACCCCGAUCCACUCCUUUGCAGCUGCUGCAGCGUAUUCAAUCAAUUCGAGUUAAAUCCGUCAUCAAUUAUGAAUCAGAAAAAUGUUUAUUACUGAGACAUGAUAUUGAAUUUAUACGCAUGCAAUAUAAAUAUAAACGCGUUCAACUAAGUUCAAUCACUACAAGGAUGGUGGCAUGUGUGUAAAUACCGUCGGGAUCAUGGUUGUUCUUGUAUUGGAGUCAGUGAAGAAGAGCGGCGGAGAUACAGAGAAGAGCGAUAGAAGAGGUUUGUCGGAUGAGAGGCGGAUAUGGAGUGUAGAGUGACGGAAGAGACUUGUUUGGAAGUUAAUUGUAUCGGCGGUGCUGGGGUAGUUGCUUCACCGUUCCGGCGAGUCCAGAGUGUAGUAAUGUGCCAAAGCUGGGGGUAUUAUUGGGGUGGGAUAAAAAAGGGGGGGUGACUGGUGAGGUAAAUUCGGCCAUUAACUGAUUCGCCAGCUUACGCAAUGGCGUCUGAGUUGGCAACUAACAAGUGGAGAACCCUCUUGUUUGUGGGCCCAAUACCCUCGAGUUGUUUGUUCUAGUCCAGAUAAUGGUCUAAGAUGUCUACUUUAAUAAUAACCUUGAACUUAGAGCACUUUGAGGAUUAGCAUGUGUAUCAUAAACUAGUACUACUAAACUGCUACUAGAUGCUAAGGUGUAAACAAGAUUGGUCGAGCCAACAUGAGGUAACAGAAAAAUUUAGGGUUCUUUUGCUUGGAUAAUGAUUAUCAUGCAGUGCCAGUUGGAGCCUAAACUUAUAUUAGAUCGAGUGUGUUUGGAUUGUAAGUUAUUUGAGAUAUUUUUACUGUAGCACUUUUUGUGAUGUGAUGUAUGUGAGAUAAAAAGAUAAUUGGAAAGAUAAAAAGGUGUAUUGGAAAUUGUAAUAGUGAUGUAAGAAAAUAUAUUUUGGUGAAUAACUUGCAAUCCAAACAUAUUUUCGAUUUUUUACUUGGUAGGUUGAAUUUAUAUUGUCAAGGCCUCUGCAUUUUAUUUGCACUAGUUAAGAGCCCAUCUAAUGUAUGUGAAUUUAAAAAUAUUAAAAAUGAAUUAUCUUUGUAUAUAUUUUUUUAUAUAAAUAACAUUUGUAUUAGUUUUUCUAAAGAACUUUGGUUUGUAUGGUUACAAUAAUUUAGUAGUUAUAAUUUUUGGAGUAGUUAUGGAUAGUUAUUACAAUACUUAGGUGGUUUUGAGUAGUUGUAUCAAUAGAACGUGAUUAGAUGAGUAAGGUUUUUUUUUUGGUAAAACUAUAAUUGAAAGUUCAAAAGAUUACAAUGAUUGUUUAUAUCAAUUGCCAAUACUCUAACUUUUUAUAUUGUGUAGAUUUGACUUGACUAGAUUGACCAAUAUUAAUUUGCAGUCACUAUUAUAGACGCAAAUCACGUUCAAAUAAGAAUUCUUUCCCUUUAAAGUGUUGCUGUGUUCUUUGCCACCCUCCCUCCUCCCAGAAGGCUCUUCCACUACCCAAUCCACCAUCGUUUUUCAUCCAAUUCACUACCGUUUUCGUGAAUGUAUUUAAUUCUUCUCUUAACUUCUCUUCUUGCUCUAUUAAUCAAAAGUAUCUUAUAUAUAAUAGUUUUGAAGUGACAACUAAACUAAAAAGGAAGUGAGACCGGUGGCAACUGCAAAAAUAGGUUGACUUUUUUCCAUUUUGGUUAUGUCUCGUUUAAUAUGAGAUCGAUUCCUAAUGAGAUCAAUUUGAUUGACUAGUGCCCUAUUUAAUUUUCUAUUUCUUGCCUAAUUAACAUCUUAGAUUUUUUAAGACAUGGCUUUUGCCUUAUGGUGCCAAAAGCAACUCUAUCAUAAAAUGUAAACUUUUCUAAUUAUCGGCAUAAUAAUUCACUUCAUAAUAUCUAAUCUGUAAUCAUUCUCUCUAAUUCAAAUAAUUAGCUUCAUUUUAUGUGUUGAAUUUUGUAUGGCUUUUAUCAUUGAAUACGUGGCCCGUAAUGUUAUCAAAUUUGAACAAAAAGGGGACAAUUGAUGAUGAAAAUUGGCUCCUAAUUUUUUCAUUUCGUACAAAAAAAUAAGUAUAUUAAUAAUUAGAAAGAUUCAAAAAAAAAAUCAAUACCUAUGAAAGUUUUGAAAGUUACAUAGGCAAUCAUUGAAACAAUAUAAAUAAGGUAUAUAUAUCUUAAAUUUUUAUGAAGCUAUUUUUUACCUAUUUCUUGUGUAUAUACUAAUGGUAAUUAUAGUUUCAAUUUUUAAGUUUUAACAAAAAUUAUAUUUGUUUGUCAAAAAUGAAAGUAAGAUGUGAUAGAUAAUUUUAAGUAUUUUUAUUUAACUAUUAUAACUAAUUUGCAUGUGGUUAUCAUUACUAGCAAUUUGCCAAAUUUUUUCAACAAUUCUUUUUUAUUGUCAAUAUUACAAAUAUUAUGGAUCAUAAUAUGUUUCCUUAAAAGUUAAGAGAUCAAUAUAUUAGGGAUCAUAUAUUUUAAAUUUUGAAAUACAUGAAACUAAAUUUGUUAUCUUGGUGACUACUUUAACUCGGUAUCUAAUAUUUGACAAUUGUCUCGAUAAGCCUACCUAACAAAUACAAUAAAAGUACAAAAUGGCAUCUAAAGUCUUGUAUACUACAAAUAUAAUCAAAUCUUAUUAGAUCUCCGUAGUGACCUAGGGUUCAGCACUCCCGAACUUUUAUCGGGAGUUCCACGUGUCUUUUAACCUCUUUAUCUUUUGGGAUGCACCAUUUACAACUUUGCAUAGGCCGUCUGAGUUGUACAUCUAGAACAUCAGUCACAUUUUCUUUCUUUACAAUCUAUAAAUGUCACCCAUACUCCAUUUAUUUAAGAUAAUGACCAACUCCACACUCUUAGGCACAAAAUGGCAUCUAAAAUCUUGUAUACUACAAAUAUAAUCAAAUAUUAUUAGAUCUAUGUAGUGACCCACGGUUUGGCACUUCCGAGCUCUUUGUCAGGGACACCAGGUAAUUUGACUAUCUAGUGUGGAGAUUGAGAGUUAGAGGAAUGAAUUAGAGAAAAGAGAAGAGAGGCAGAAGAGGGAAAGAGAGAAAACUGAAGAGAGAGGGAAAGAAUGGAAAUUGUUAUUUCUUCAAAAUGUCGUUGUUACAAUUAAUGGUGGUCCCCACCUUUAUAACAACCUGAUUCUGGUAGUUAAUCCUAACCGACUCAAUACUCACUACUAAACUACAUCGUUUUGAUUGCAAUUAAUCCAAGCCUGACAAUUCCCUCCCCAUAAAACAGACUUGUCCUCAAGUAUAGAAUUCAGGGAAUUGAUGUUCAACAAAAGACUUGUCCUCCCAAGAUGCCUCCUCAUAAUCCAAGUGAUUCCAUUUAAUCAGAAACUGAAUAACUGGCUUAGCAUCUCGCAAAAUAACCCUCCUUUUCAGAAUUACUUCUGGCUUUAAUGGACAUUGAUCCUGAAAGUCUAACUCUGGUAGGGUAGUGGAGCUGCCCUGCAUUGGUCUCAAUUUCUUCUUAAGCAAAAACACAUGGACACUGAAUGUAGUUUGGAGUCGGCUGGCAGCUUAAGUUUACAGGCUACUGCCCCCACCUUCUGCUCAAUCUGGAAUGGCUCGUAGUACUUAGCUGCUAAUUUGAGACAUUUUCUGAUAGCCACAGUCUGUUGUCUGUAGGGUUAGAGCUUUAGAAACACCCAAUCCCCCACAGAGAACUCCCUUUCAGAUAUGUGAUAAUCAGCAUACUGUUUCAUCCUUUGUUGAGCCUUGGUCAAGUUCUCCUCAAUGCAGUAUGAUAUCCUGAUCCUUUCCUGCACCAUGUUGGAAACUGCAGGAAUCAUGGAGUCUAAUACGGUCCCAUUGGUAAAUGUACUGGCUUGUAUCCAAACAAGGCUUCAAAAGGGGUCAUUCCCAGGCUUGAAUGGUAGGUGGAAUUGUACCACCACUCAGCCAGAGAUAACCACUUGCCCCACUGGGAAGGAAGCUCUCCAGUCAUACACCUCAGGUAGUUUUCCAAACAUUGGUUGAGUCUUUCAUUCUGACCAUCAGUCUGAGGAUGGUAAGAUGAAGAGUAAUGUAGCUCAGUCUCAACUAGCUUGAAGAGCUCUUUCCAGAACCUGUUGGUGAAGAUUUUGUCCCUAUCAGUGAUGAUAGACUCUGGUAGGCCAUGUAGCUUAUAGAUGUUGUCCAGAAAAGCUUGAGCAACCUCCUUUGCUGUAAAUGGAUGUGUCAAUUUGAUGAAAUGACCAAACUUGGUGAAUCUGUCAAUAACUACCAGUAUAGUAUCAUAGCCUUGUGACUUAGACAAUUUCUCGAUGAAAUUCAAUGUGAGAUCAUGCCUGCUUAGGUACAGAGAAUGGUUGCAGCAAUCUGGGGUAGAGAACAUUUUUAGACUUGUUUCUUUGACAGACAUCACACUUAUGUAUAAAGGACACCACUUCUUGCUUUAUGCUUGGUCAGUAGAAUAAGUUCCUAAUUUUCUGCCAGCAAUUCCUCUGGCCUGAGUGACCACCUAUUGCUGAAGCAUGUAAGGCCAGUAUAACUUGCUCCCUGAUGUUCCCUGCCUCUCCAACAUAGAUCCUACCCUGGAAUUUCAAUAUUCUAUCCACCAUAGUCACUGUGAGAGUUGGGAUCCAGCACUAGUUUAGCUAUAAUGUCUUGGCAAUGAGUGUCAUCCUCAUAACUUUUCUGCAACUCUGCAAUCCAGCCAGGUUUGACAGAGCUAAUAGCCAUACAAGAGCUCAGUGCAACUGUAGGUGUAACUUCAUGUAUCCUAGACAAUGCAUCAGCCACCUGGUUUUCUCUACCUUUUUUGUACUGUAUCUCAUAGUCCAACCCUAGAAGCUUAGUCAUCCAAUUAUGUUGAAGUGUAGUGUUUAAUUUUUGAUCCAAUAGAUACUUCAGAGACUGGUGGUCAGUUCUAAUGAUGAAAUGAUUCUCAACCAAGUAGUGCCUCCAUUUAGUAACUAGCAUUACUAGAGCAAGGAGUUCUUUUUCAUACACUGAUAAUCCCAAGUUCUUAGCUAAGAGUGCCUUGCUUAAGAAAGCAAUACGGUGCCCUUCUUGCAUCAGAAUUGCUCAUAUACCUCCUUCACUGGCAUCUGUCUCUACUAUUAAAGACUUAUUGAAAUCUAGCAACUGAAGAACAGGAGCUGAGCACAUCAGUUUCUUAAGUUGAUCAAAAGAAUUUUGUGCUUGCAUUUUCCAUUUGAAGCUGUCCUUUUUGAGCAAUUCAAUAAGUGGCUUGCAGACAAGCCCAUAAUGCUUUAUAAACCUUCUGUAAUGUACUGUAAGUCCCAAAAAGCCUCUCAAUUCCUUAACAGUUUGUGGUAUGGGCCAUUGCAUAAUGCUUUUGAUCUUAGAAUCAUCCAUAGUGAUCCCUUGUUCAGUAAUGGUAUGCCCCAGAUAGUCCACUCUGGUCUGAGCAAAGGCACACUUGAAUUUCUUUAUGUAUAGUUGAUUACUGCUCAGAAUGUCAAACACAAUCCUCAGAUGAUGCACAUGAGUCUUCACUGUAGAACUGUAUACAAGGAUGUCAUCAAAAAAUACCAGAACAAAUUUCCUCAAAUAAGGUUGAAAUAUAUGAUUCAUCAGUGAUUGGAAUGUGGCAGGAGCAUUUGUGAGUCCAAAAAGCAUGACUAGAAACUCAAAGUGCUCACAGUGAGUUUGAAAGGUUGUCUUGAAGGUAUCCUGACAUUUCAUUCUGAUCUGAUAAUAUCCAGCUGUGAGAUCCAACUUAAUCUUAAACACAGCACCUGUUAGUUCAUCCAGUAGCUCAUCCACAUUGGGUAUUGGGAAUCUGUCCUUGACAAUUAAUUCGUUUAACUUUCUGUAGUCCACACAAAAUCUCCAAGUACCUUCUUUUUUCUUGACUAGCAAAACAAGGGAGGCAAAAAGACUAUUGUUGCACUUGACUAUACCCUUCUGCAACAUCUCAGUAACCUGCUUCUCAAUUUCCUCCUUAUGGCAAUGGGGGUAUCUAUAAGGUUUCAAUUUGAAUGGCUUAGUUCCUGGUUUGAGGGGUAUUUCAUGAUCCACAUUUCUACUGGGAGGUAAGUCAUUUGGGGUCUGAAACAUAUCUUCAUAAUGUUGUAGUAGUUCAGCUACUUCUGAGGGUAUAGGGUCAGCUUCUCCUCUUUCAUCCUGUGCUUAGCUCAUUGCCAUACACAUCUGCUUCUUGUACUCUAUGAAUCUCCUUAAAUCCUUUCCCUUGAUUAGGUCCAUAUCACAAUCUUCUGCUCUCCCAUGCAACUGGAUCUCAUCUCCCUCAUGAUGUAAAGAUAUUCUGAGCUGAUGGAAAUCGAAUGUAAUUGGACUAAAGUGUGUUAUCCAAUUCACUCCCAAUUUUAUGUCCCAACCCCCAAGUUUCAUUACUUUGAGGCUGAAUCUGAAAUUAUGUUGGUUAAUCCUCCAGUGCACAUUAGGACAAAUAGCAUUACUAGUUACACACGUUCCAUUGCCCAUGAUAACAAAAAAUGGCUGAUCCACCCACUGAUACCCAAUAUCCAUGCCAAUAACCAACUCAUUGCUGAUGUAACUGUCUGAACUUCCAGUAUCCACCAGAAUUAGCACCUCCUCCCCAUCAAGGAUGCCCACAAAUGUAAUGAUUUUCCUUUUUAAUGUUUCAGAUAAUGCAUGUAAGGACAUCUCCAUUGCCUGCCCAGGAUUUCCUGUCUGUUCAUCCUGCUCACUCACUGCAUCUUCAAAGGCAGAUUCCUCUUCUUAUUCAGGAACAUGCAGUUUGCAUAGCUUACCUUGUACUGGUGGCCUAUUCCAUACUUUUUCCCACACUUGAAGCAUAGUCCAUUAGCCCUCCUAUACUGCAUUUCCUGUGUUGAAGGUUUCUUUGAGUCCUUGAAUUCCUUUUGAGAGUUUCUGAACUUGGAAUAUUUGAAAUUGCUACUGACAGGCACCUUAUAUGAGUGACUCCCAGUAGUUGGUGUAUUACUCAUUGUCAUUCCAAACUUAUGCUCCCCCAGAGCUCUGGUACUGUCCUUAGUAUUCCUACGUUGGAUCCUGAUUGACUGUUCCUGCCACUAUGAAAUCUCAAAUGUUUCUGUCAAGGUAGUAGAUUUAAGCAUCCUGACCAUAGGUUUGAUUUCUUCAUUUAAUCCACUUAUGAAACUGGAAACAAAAUAGUUUUCAUCCAGAUUUCGAUUCUUAGUCAUCAUCAGAGGUUUCAAUUCUUCAAAUUUUUCUUGAUAUUCUCUCACACUCCCUUCCUGUUGCAGCUUAUUAAACUCUUCUAUCAUAUCUCUGCAAGUACUAUCAUUGAAUCGCCUAUACAGUAAUUCACUAAAUUCUUCCCAGUCCAAAUUAGAUUUCUCAAUUUUUACCCCUUGAAACCACUUGUCAGCUCUACCUUCUAGAUACAUCUCAAUGACCUCAACUUUCUGUUCCUCAGGAACUUGAUAAUUCAAAAGGUAUUUAUUACAUUUGCGGAGCCAAUCCCUAGGAUUUUCACCAGAAAAUAAUUGUAAAUCAAUUUUUGGAGGAUUUGGAAUCUGAAACUUACUCCAGUCCUUCUUAAAAGGUCUUUUGAGCCUCAAUUUCAGCCUGUAGCCUUUGGUGAGCUGGAGGAGUAGGUAGAAUUGGUGUUAGAUCCACGUUUACUCUUCCAUCCUUUUCUGGAACCUUAUAUUUCCCCGUUGUCAUCUUCAUCAGUAGGUUGUUAAUCUUUUGUUCCAAAUUCUAUUAAGAUUCUGUUCCAUUCCAAUGACCAGGUCCUCCAUCCUCUUGUUGCUUUCUUCGAGCUCUAUUUUCAAUUCGCUCCUAAUUUGUUGUUGCUCCAAUUGAGCUGAAUGCAAGGAUCCUAGCAGUUCCUGGAGCUUGAACUCCUAUUUUUUCACUUAUUCCUCCAAUGUUUGAAGCCGAUUGCCUUCUGCCAUUGAAUUUCAAAGCGAGCUCCAAGGAUCGUUUGCUCUGGAUACCAAUUGUCAGGGACACUAGGUAAUUUGACUAUCUAGUGUGGAGAUUGAGAGUUAGAGGAAGGAAUUAAAGAAGAGAAAAGAGAGAAGAGAGACAGAAGAAGGAAAGAGAGAAAACUGAAGAGAGAGAAAGAAUGAAAAUUGUUAUUUCUUCAAAAUGUCGUUGUUACAAUUAAUUGUGGUCCCCACCUUUAUAACAACCUGAUUCUGGUAGUUAAUCCUAACCGACUCAAUACUCACUACUAAAUUACAUCGUUUUGAUUGCAAUUAAUCCAAGCCAGACACUCUUAUCGGGAGUUUCACGUAUCUUCUAACUUUUUUUAUCUUUUGGGAUGCACCAUUUACAACUUCGCAUAGGCUGUCAGAGUUAUACAUCUAGAACAUUAAUCAUCUUUUCUUUCUUUACAAUCUAUAAAUAUUGCCCAUACUCCACUUAUUUAAGAUAAUGAACAACUUUACACUCUCUUUAGAAUGUGAACAGUUGGUACUAACUUGAGUAUCAUCAACGAGACCCUAGUUUUGUAUUGACACUCUUUUUAAACCUUGAAUAACUUGAGUAUCAUAAUCAUCUUGGGGACGAGACCUUGAUUUUGUAUUGACAAUCUUUUUAAACCGUGAACAACUCGUACUAAUUUAAAUAUCACAGUUAUCUUGGUUUUGUAUUGACACUCUCUUUAAAUUGUGCUACCUUGAAUAUCAUAAUUAUCCCAGGAUAAGAUCUUGGUUUUGUACUUGAGUGUCACAAUCAUUCAAGGACAACAUCUUGGUUUUGUAUUGUUGUUCAAUACUUACAAGUGUUUAAGCAAUAGAUCGUAGCCCACCAACUUGUACCUAACCUAGACUACUCAAAAAUAUAUCUGAGAGCAUUUCUAACCCUUCAAUCUAUAGGUCUUAUUUUUCAUUUUUUUAGCAACAAGAAGAAAUCACCAUUUUCAUUGAGAAUUACGUCUAUCUAUUUUUAAAAAUUAAAAAAUCAAACAUUUACACAAAUUGAAAACUACCAUGUAUAAAUGUGGAUUAAAAUUUAAAGAAACUUGAUGUGUAUAUUUUUUUUGUGGUUUGAUUAAUAUUUAGGUUACAAAAAUUAUCAAGUUUUUAUAAACACAAGUUCAAUUUUUUUUAAGUUCUAGUUUUUUAAUCACUAAGUAAGAGAAUAUUAGGAUACGUUGGAUAAGUGUGUUUUUUAGCAUGUUUUUAAUUUUUCUCUCGCUGUCACCAAUAUUUCUAAUCAAAUCUAUGUUCAUCACUAUUAUCACCACUCUCAAUUCCUCCCACCAUUGCUUCAUUUACAACUGUUGCUUCUCGCCACCAUAAUUUUUUCACUUUUGUCAUCUUUUCCCUGCCUCUCAUGCAUUUUUCCUCCAUUCUUCAACCAUUUCUUCUGCUUUUUCCUCAUUUUCUCUUCCUUUUCUUUCUUUCCCUCGCCACUUCCCUCUUAUCUCUCUUUCUCCACCCAUCUUUCCUAUUCACUGUCUCUUUCUCUAAAUCCAGUUAGGCUAUCAGAUCUAGGGAGAGAGAAGGAGAAUAAAGGAAAAAAAGAGAUCAUAGGAGGAUAAUGAGAGAAAGAUGAGUAAAUAGAAGAAGGGAAGGGGAAAUGAGGAAGGAAAUGAGAGAGAAAGAAAUGAAGAAAUAGAGAGAGAGGUAACUAUGUGGAUGAAUUGAGAGAAGGGAAAAAGAAGACGAGAGAGUGUAACUGCUGAUAGUAGCAAGUGAGGAAAGGGAGGCAGUGGUAGUGAAAAAAAAAGGAAAGGAUGGGAAGCGGCGAAAAGGCAGUGAUAUGAUUAAGUUACUAUAAAUAUGAUUUAGUUAAUUUAGCUAGUUAAGUUAAAUUUAAAUAUGAUUUAUUAUAAGGGGAGGAGUAGAAAGGAUAGCACGAAAAGAAGAAAUGUAAGUGAGGUGUUGUGAGUUAAAGGCAUAUUACUUACAUUAAAUACACAUCCCUCUUGAUAUAUGUAUGACUAAUAAAACGUUAAUGUUAAAAUUUGCGGAAUUAAAAGGGGGGAAGUAUUAGCCAACCAAUAAGCGGUAUGGUAUCCGACAAUGCAAAAGUGAAACUUCACUCGAUGCUUCACCCUUAAUUUGGGACCAGGGACAGGAACGGUUGCAAGUGCUGAAGGUUAUGUGCAUUUUACAUACGAUGUAACUCUGUUUGUACAUGGUGUAACUUACUUUUAACAACGUGUAAUUUUAGAACAAAAUUUUAUGGAUCCUCCACAUAUUAUUAAAAAUGAGAUACAAGAUGGGAUCUAAAUCGUAUAAUUUUUUUGAUCAAAUCUUGACCGUGAGCUGCUCAAGGACGGUUCGCUUGAUGGCUGUCCCUGCCCCAAAUCCCUUAAUUUGCGACCACUUGCGAUCCUCGUACGAUUCUUCAUAUACGGCAUACUCCGAAAGGUAGAAAGAGACCUGACGCAUACCAUCCAUCCAUACUAGGAAAAGGACGUUCCUUUUUUCAAAUACGAACGAUUGACCCACCAAGAAGCUGAGGGAUAAAAAAUUGGGAUAAUUUCACAAACCUCCCCUAAGGUUUCAUGAAAUAUCACCUAGCUCCCUUGAACUUUUUAAAAUCUCACUUAACACCCUUAAAAUGAUAGUAGGGCCAUAUGUUAAUAUCAAAGGUGAUGAAUUGUCAAUAACACCCUCCUAUUUAAAUUUUCUAAACUUGUUUUUCUUUCUCUAAAUGUCAAUAAAAUAUAGGAUUUAAUAAAUGAAAUAUUUAGCGCAUUUGGAGAAAAAUAGCUGCAGAUUCUUUUUUCCUCUUUUUUUUUGUGUUUCAUAACUUUAUUUAUUUAUUUAGUUAUUUGUUCCUAUUCAUGUAGAGCGCAAGAGAAAUAAAAUAACUAAAACACCGAACUGCAGUUUUACAAAUUCUGAGUUUUUUAUAAUAAAAUUUUCAUAUUUCUUUCCCAGAAAAAAGUCGGUCUAUUUUGAGUAAAUUCUCUGUAUGCUAUUGAAGUUGAAUUUCAUCUAUUGCUGAGUUUUUUGGCUCAAAUGUAUGCUUUUUACAUGCUAAUUGCCUUCAAUGCUAUGGAGGGUUUUAUUUAUAGAAAUGGUUUAAAAAAAUAUUUGCUUUUAUUGUCUCUCUCUACUAUAGAAAUGACUAUUGGUUGUAACAUAAAAUCUUAUAAAUUUUCAUCUUCUCAUUUUUAAAAUGAUUCCAAUUUAGUACUUUUUUUCUUGGUUUGUCAAAUGUUCAUUUUUCUAUAGGCUACGGGUAGUAAAGGCACUAAAAUAAUCUCUCUCCUCAAAUAUGAAUUUUUUAAUAUGACAAUGUUACCAAAAUGUCAAUUCGAGGGGUGCUAAGUGAGAUUUUGAAAACCUCAAGGGAGCCAGGUGAUAUUUCAUGAAACCUAGGGGAGAUUUCUGAAAUUAUCCCUAGAAAAUUUAAACGAGGUGAAAGGGGUGGUGGGUCCCGCGUUUGGACUUCACACUGGCUCUCUUCCCUGUGAUAACUCAUAGAAAUUAUCACUCCCAUCAUUGCUCUCUGCGACCCCUCGCCACGUCAUUAAACCUUCCCAUCAUCCAAUCGCUCCUCCCUCCCACUCGGCUUGCAUGAUACGGAUACCAUCGUGUCCGUUCGAUUCCUAGUGGACCCCGCACCCUACAAAGAAAUAUGGGCCCCACAUAUUUCUAGGGGCAUUUAUUUUUUCCUAGGCCCGUUUUCAGGGGAUAAAAAAUAGAACUCCCGAAACCCAUCCCAACGCCAACAGAGUACUCGCGCGGUGCUGCAGUUUCACUACUACCGGAGGCAGCAGCAGCUGCAGCAGUAGGUAGGAAGAUAGCUGUCACACUCAAAUGGACCAAAACGGCACCGUUAAUUCCCGUCAUCGUCGAUCGCCCUCCUCUGACAGAUUUCUCGGCGUUUUCUCUCCGACCGAACGAAGCACCGCUCUCAGUGCUUCUGGAGACAACUCUGCCUCCGGCGACGAGCUUAACGAAGACGACGUCUUCUGGACUGGUGACUUUACUGAGCCUCGUGGCCGGUCCUCUUCCCCUUCCUCAGUCAUCAACAUGCGCCAGCCCUUCCGGAAGCCGGAGAAUUUCGGUAUACUUGCUGCCUUGUCGGAUGACCACCGUAACCCCAACCAAUCUUUGCUCUACAGGAAGGCCUCUCUCUCUCCCUCGACGUCGUCGUUUAACAAAACCCCACUUUCGGCUUCACCUACUCAACCGUCGCCGUUUUCACGUGCGAUUCCUUCUAUUCCGAAGCCGCAGCAGAACUACAGCACCUACUCGCAGUCGAUGCCAGCAAGGAAGUUCCAACAGUCGGCUCCGGUGAAUGUGCCGAUGAUGCCGAGAAAGGUGAGGAACGGCUUGCUGGCUGACGUGGAUGUUGAUGAUAAUGACGCCGACGAUGAGAUGCUCCCGCCGCACGAGAUCGUUGCACGAGGAUCGGCGGCUGGGUCUCCGAAGACCACGUUCUCGGUGCUUGAAGGCGUCGGGAGAACUCUCAAAGGCAGAGAUCUUCGUCAGGUUCGCAACGCCGUCUGGCGCCAAACAGGUUUUGUCGAUUGAAAAGCUACGAUAUCUGAUUUUGACACAAAUAUACCCGUAUAAAUUGGGGUUUUUCGGACUGAGAAGUUUGAAUUUUUGCUAGCUUUUCAGAGGCCUAAGAUACAAUUGCUGUUGUAGUCAGCCGGGGACUUCAAAGGUUCCCCAUUUUGGCGCAUCGGAGUUAUUAUAGUGCUGAGGAUGUUAAAUGUGUUAUCUAUAAGAUUUUGUUGCGGAAGAAAUUCUUGUACCAUUAUGGUACAACCUGGAUAACAGAUACUAGUCUUGGUAGAAUUAAGAAGGAAGAACUUCUUUUUUCUGAAUUUCAAUCAUCUUCAAUACUUGAGGGACUAAUAAUAACAAUCGACCAUCCUCAAUAGUUAUCCUACUAGUUAUAAGGUUUGAAUGCUCAAAAUGAAGAAAUGAAAAUGAAGGAUAAUUGUUAGUUGUAAUAGUGGCUUUUAAGUUAUGGUAGGCUAAGUAUAUAAGCAGGUUGCUGCAGAUUAACUAGUUUUGCAAGUUAUAGGUACUUUAAAGUUAAAAAUCAAGGUCCACCUUUUCAAUACAUGGAUGCCGUAAGCAUUUGUACUCUGGUAGAGAUGGAGGACGCAGAGAAGACUGCCUUCUAUUAUAAAUUUGAGUACAUUUCAUGUAAUUUCCAAUGUGUGACUUUGUGAUCAAUCCACUUUGGUUUGGUAGGUUACCAUCACACACUCAAUUCCGAGUGUGGAUAUACUCUAAUCGAGUUAAACUUGGAUUACCUGGUAGUUUUCUAAAAUGUGUUAAUUAGUUGUGUAAUUUGAAAUAGGAUGGCCUGUUAGUUACUGUAUUGUCUUUUAGUCUUUCUGUGUUGCUUAUUUAAUAGUAUAGAAGGGUAUUGAUUGUCAAGAAAAAGAAAUACAACUACUUAGCACCUUGAUAUCAUUUUUGAUUUCAAAUAAUACUCUAUCCAAACAAACAUGCUUCCCGUCCAUGUUGUAACUGUAUUUAAUGGAAGUCCAAUGCAUUAACAUCAAUUAAUGUCAAAUGUUGUCUCAGGUAGAGGCCUGACAGGUAUUCAGCUGGUUCCUUUGCAUGCUCCAACUUUUGUACUAGUUCAUUGGAGAACUUGAAUAGAUUUUGUUCAGAUAUUGUUACUUUUUCCUGUUGGUAAAUUUUAGUAAUACAAGUGGGAGAUAGUCACUGUACAUUUUAUUCUACAUUUUAGACUGCAAAGUGUGUCCAUUUAGGAUAUUAGUGGUGCAAUGCUGAGGAAUGACAAACUUGUGCUGGACAAGAUUAGAGAAAGAAUAAUAAGUAGGUAAUGACAUUUUUCUUGGUGGUUGUGUAUUGAUGUGACCUAGAAUGGAAACUCAAAGGAAAUGCUGGUAGUCAACUCUUACAGGGAUCUUCAAAUUACUCUGAUUUCACUAAAUGUACUGUCGGGGAUAUUCCAGAUGCCGCUGUGUUGUGGAUACAUAUUAGUUGUAAGAGAACAAGAUUAUUUUUUUCUGAAAGUAGCAGGCCUGAGCUAUGCUUGCUAAUUAUGCUGUAGCUGGAAGGAGUACAAUAGUUUCUCUUCUGAUAAUUAUGUUUGCAAAUUUCACAAAAUGUACAAUAACUUUUAUUUGAUUUGUGUGCUUCUGAUAUUUUAGAUUGGACCAAAAGAGAGAGCAUUGCAUUUACCUUCUCUUUUUAGUUAACAUUAAGAAGCUCUUUGCUUUGCACUUUAUCAAACUCGUGAACUGGCUGUUCACACCACCACCAACGCAGUUGAUCUAACUUUCUUUAAGAUCAAUAGCCAUUAGCAUGGUUUGCACUUAACCCGCACAUUCGGUUAUGCUAUCGGCAUUGAUCAUUUCUUUGCGCAACUGCAUAUCCACCUUGUGACUAGUUAGAAACUUGCAGUUCACGUCUUUAGUCGGCUAGUUAUGAUUGAUAUUGGUUACGGCUUGGCAUAACCAUGGCGUACUGAAAUUUGAAAAAGUAACAGUUCUUACUUGGUCAGAAGUCACAUAAGUGAUGCCAUCAGCACUGUGUUUUGUUUAACUGUCAACGGGAUUGGCUUUGGUGAUAAAAGUUAUAUACCUGGUUUGAUGCUUCUUCUAGUCACCUAUACUUGAAGCUUAAUGCAUCCUGCACGAUUUUGUCAAAUAUGGUCCCAUUGAAAGAUCUGAAUAGUAUUUGAACCAAAAUUUUUUGCAGUUUGCCUGCCUUGACCACUUACAACUUAAAUGUGGAUAUUAUACCUGGUGUUAGUAAUCUUGUAGUCAUAUGGACUUGAAGAUCAAUGCAUCAUGCCAAACUCGGGUCACAUUUAGAAAUUUGAAUGGUAUUUGGAUUAGAAUUCUUCACAGUUACUCGAUUUUGUCUAAUCACAAUGUAUAGCUGUUAUAGUUUCAUGAAAGUAACUGGAAAUCAUGGUGUUCUAAUCAUGAUGAUUUAUUUAGUGAGAAAUGCUCUUACUCCAUGUGCAAUUGAUUGAAUGGAUUUUCAACGGUUACAAACUAAGGCUCGUGUUCUAGUUGUGUAGAGUCAAGACACUUCAUUCAACACUACUGUAUAUUACUAAUAGUAAAUAGUAUCGUGUUCAUGAUUAGAGAGACGAAAACUUGUUUGUACAAUCUGCACAAAGAAUCUAGAUCUAAAUCACCUUGAAACUAUUCAUGAAAACAAUAUAUGAAAUUCUAUAACUUUUACUGUUUGAAGGAACUUUUGCGAUGAGGCAAAUUCUAGCAGUUCAUUGGACCUAAUCUAAAGCAUUAUACGACCUAUUUACCAAGGCAUAGCAAGUAGGUUUCACAUUAUGAAAAAUCUAAAAUCUGAAUACUCUCUUCAUUUUGUAAAGGACUCGUAGUUAUUUGCAACUUUGCUUCGUUCAAAAUUUAAACUUGGACUUGAGUAGCUCAAGCUAUUUAAAUUCCUUGUGAUCUUACAUGAGAAGUCUAUUUUAAUCUAAUCUAUUUAAGGUGAAUGUCUAUUUUAUCAAUAUGUUUAAAACAUAAAUCUGUACUACUUGAGAACUCAAUUAAACUCGAAUUAUAGCGUGUUAAAACCGCCUGUUUAAGUACCUAUUAACGCCUCUAGUAUGUUAGCUGUAGUCAUGCUCCCACAUAAGGAUCUCCUUUACGUUAGAGCUUGAGGAAUAAUUAGAAAUGUGAGAAGCCUUGCUGAUUCUUGUUAUACUUUAGCGAAAUAAUUAAAAUAGAGGUAAGAAUAGUCGAUUCUCCAUUUCUUUAUCCAUGUUAGUAUAUUUUUUAAAUAAAAAAUUCAUAAUUCAUUCUCACAAAUCUGUACUAAUGGCACAAGAUGCAUCAAAUCAAAUUAGCAUGUGACAAAAAUAACAGAUAUAUUAGAUCUGAAAAAUUUUUAAAAAAAAAAUUAAAACCUUGUACAGAACAAAAUAGGAGAAAUAAAAGUCUACCUAUGAAAUCUUAGGAGAGAGAAUACUCUAAUUAAAAAAAACUUUGGACAGGCUUUAUUUAAACAAUACAAGAAAAUUAGAAAUUCGAGGAAGGGAGACCAUGGUCGAUUGAAAAAAUUUGUCUACAAGAGACAAAGAGCUUAUGAAGAUUACUAAUAAUGCUUAGUAUAGUGUGGAAUGAAAAAAGAUUUCGAUCUUUAACCAUGUCAUGUUUGGGAGACAAGGUAACUUUUUGCAUUCAUGAUCAACGCUACUGCUAUUUCUUCAUCCGAGUUAUGGGUUGGGGAACAAAGAACUUUGCUUUAAUGAUAAACGGUUGGGUAUUUAGCUCGGUUUUGUGCCUACACCUAAUUGUUCUUCACAUAAAUCUAUUCAUCGACAAUACAGAAUAUCAAGAUUCAGGCAAGACUAGGAACAAAUGCCCUUUCUUAUUUCUGAAUUGAUUUCGAUCAAAUUGGAGCACCUUUAUGCUUUUGAUCAGAAAGACGAGCGUCGGACAAAACGAGUCAGAUUUCCAUAUCCAGCAAACAAAAAGCGUGACAAGUCAGAAUAUCAAUAAGCGUUAAGUUGUGGAAGUUCACAGGGGGAAAGAAUCCCCUCACCGUCCAUGAUCAUUUUCCUCAUCCUUGCCACUAAAGGAUGCAACUGCCCGCAAAUGUCCAACAUAUCAGAUAAACUUUAAUUUUCCCCCAUAGAAACGCGCAAAUGCAACAAACAAAAGAAAAAAUUCAAGACCAAGAACAAUUUGAGGCCAGGGCAAACGCAAGUCAGGAUAUCAAUAAGCCUGAAAGCAGAGCUCAUGGAGGUAUUCACCUCUCGCACAUCUAAUUUUGUCUUCAUCCUCGCAAUGCCAUCCCGAAUCAAAAUCAAUCAAAUGAAAAAUUACAAGCACAAGAAACAGUAGCCCCUGUACUAAACAAUUAUUGAAUGCCCAAGGUAGUAAUUCCCCCAUAUUUGAUUCUGUUACAAUGAUAAAACUAAAAUCCAGAUGAAAAGAAAUGUACCCCACUUCACCGCGAGACAUUCACCAAUCAACAAUUUUGACCCUGCCAAACCCGAUGUCAGAACCCAAACAGAAAGUCAUCUGCCGGAAUUCCAACAAUUAGGAAAAAGCGGGCAGCCAAAAAAAAAAGUUAUGCCUCGACAAAUAAAAGAGAAGAGCGGGAUAAAACAGGACUGAAUCCUCAAUAGGAAAACCCUAAAGAGAAAGCCCUAGGCAUAUACGACACGCCCCAAAAAACAGGGUCUGUAGUAUAUAAUCGUUAAUCUAGCGCAGCUAUGACUCGAAACGCUUCCAUUGCUGAAAGGUGGAAGGCGAUCUUAAGGGCUGCGCCUGGGCAUAAUAUUUUUGAAUUGCUAUCAAACAUUCAAACGUCCAACUGAUUGAUAAUUGAAAGCACCAAGAGAGAAAAAGAUUGAAGCGAGAAUGAUUUCAAUUUUUCCCACUCAAAUCGAAUUGGUUCGUCAAACCCUAGCCUGCGGCCGUUGAGAUGUGGGGGAGCGGAGCAAGCCAGAGUUAUUUAUACUGGUACUUUUUAUCUUCCUCUUCUACGGGCCUGUGUCCCCUCGGAUUGCCGAGCCCAUUCGGCCAGAAAUUGCUUCCAUCAAUAAGGUUUAAAACACAAACCCUUGAAGUUGGCACACCGACUUGCAUGGACAACCCGGAUUGCAUUGCAUGCCUCCACACACUGGAAGAUCCAGCCCAAAGCCGCAAGUGAUAGAGCCCACCAAAAUUUAGACAACAGGUUACUCAAACACGUUCAGCAUCUCUAUAGACCUAGGCUUGGCUUGGAUUUUCCUCCCGUCUCCC
rnacentral:lncRNA from 1 species